rnacentral:rRNA from 1 species
AACGCUAGCUACAGGCUUAACACAUGCAAGUCGAGGGGCAUCAGGAAGAAAGCUUGCUUUCUUUGCUGGCGACCGGCGCACGGGUGAGUAACACGUAUCCAACCUGCCCUUUACUCGGGGAUAGCCUUUCGAAAGAAAGAUUAAUACCCGAUGGCAUAAUGAUUCCGCAUGGUUUCAUUAUUAAAGGAUUCCGGUAAAGGAUGGGGAUGCGUUCCAUUAGGUUGUUGGUGAGGUAACGGCUCACCAAGCCUUCGAUGGAUAGGGGUUCUGAGAGGAAGGUCCCCCACAUUGGAACUGAGACACGGUCCAAACUCCUACGGGAGGCAGCAGUGAGGAAUAUUGGUCAAUGGGCGCUAGCCUGAACCAGCCAAGUAGCGUGAAGGAUGAAGGCUCUAUGGGUCGUAAACUUCUUUUAUAUAAGAAUAAAGUGCAGUAUGUAUACUGUUUUGUAUGUAUUAUAUGAAUAAGGAUCGGCUAACUCCGUGCCAGCAGCCGCGGUAAUACGGAGGAUCCGAGCGUUAUCCGGAUUUAUUGGGUUUAAAGGGAGCGUAGGUGGACUGGUAAGUCAGUUGUGAAAGUUUGCGGCUCAACCGUAAAAUUGCAGUUGAUACUGUCAGUCUUGAGUACAGUAGAGGUGGGCGGAAUUCGUGGUGUAGCGGUGAAAUGCUUAGAUAUCACGAAGAACUCCGAUUGCGAAGGCAGCUCACUGGACUGCAACUGACACUGAUGCUCGAAAGUGUGGGUAUCAAACAGGAUUAGAUACCCUGGUAGUCCACACAGUAAACGAUGAAUACUCGCUGUUUGCGAUAUACAGUAAGCGGCCAAGCGAAAGCAUUAAGUAUUCCACCUGGGGAGUACGCCGGCAACGGUGAAACUCAAAGGAAUUGACGGGGGCCCGCACAAGCGGAGGAACAUGUGGUUUAAUUCGAUGAUACGCGAGGAACCUUACCCGGGCUUAAAUUGCAGUGGAAUGAUGUGGAAACAUGUCAGUGAGCAAUCACCGCUGUGAAGGUGCUGCAUGGUUGUCGUCAGCUCGUGCCGUGAGGUGUCGGCUUAAGUGCCAUAACGAGCGCAACCCUUAUCUUUAGUUACUAACAGGUUAUGCUGAGGACUCUAGAGAGACUGCCGUCGUAAGAUGUGAGGAAGGUGGGGAUGACGUCAAAUCAGCACGGCCCUUACGUCCGGGGCUACACACGUGUUACAAUGGGGGGUACAGAAGGCAGCUAGCGGGUGACCGUAUGCUAAUCCCAAAAGCCUCUCUCAGUUCGGAUCGAAGUCUGCAACCCGACUUCGUGAAGCUGGAUUCGCUAGUAAUCGCGCAUCAGCCACGGCGCGGUGAAUACGUUCCCGGGCCUUGUACACACCGCCCGUCAAGCCAUGGGAGCCGGGGGUACCUGAAGUACGUAACCGCAAGGAUCGUCCUAGGGUAAAACUGGUGACUGGGG